rnacentral:lncRNA from 1 species
AGAAGUAGUUCAGUGCAGUCAGCGUUUCAAUUUUUCAUUCUGAAAUCUUGUCUAACUCCUUACUUCCUCCUUUCCCUGGUGGACUCAAGCAGUGGAGGUCCCAGUGUGCCUUACACCUGAGGAGGUGUGGUGUGUACAUCAAAAUCAAGCCUGCUUCCUUUUGGUAAAUAGUUACACCACACCAGGCGAGGGCCUGCCUACUCCAGUGUGGCCGAUGUAUUUUUCCAAACCCAUAAUCAACCCAGAGAUCAUUGGCCCAACCACAUCUGCUGCCCUUGAUAUUACAUCUUGGAGUGGCAGUUGAGGGCCUGGCCAAGUAGAGAACUUGUCUUUGGCUUUCUUUGUCUACACAAUUGUUUUAUUUAUUUAUUUGCCCCAUCCCCCUACUUUUUUUGCAAUGGGGUCUCUAUGUUGCCCAGAAGCAUCUGGAACACCUGGGCUCAAGCGAUCCUCCCAUCUCAGCCUCCCAAGUAGCUGGGACUACAGGCCCGAGUUACCACAUGCAGCCCCACGAUUGUUCCUUUUUACAUAUUAAAUAACCUAUGCUUAAUUUAGAAAAUGCAAAAAAUGAAAAGAUGGGGAAAAAAACCAAACACGUAACUCCUGCACCUUGGUGUGUACCCAUCCAGAACACUACACAUGCACACAAUUUUUGUUUUCUCGGAAAUAAAAUCAUAUGAGCUAGACCAGUGGUUCUCAAUCAGGGUGAUUUUUCCCCCACAGAAGACAUUCAGCAAUGUCUGCAGACAUUUUAGGUUGUCAAAACUGGGGCAGGUGGUGAUACUGGCAUCUAGUGGUUGAGGCCAGAGAUACUGCUAAACAUCCUAAAACGCACAGGCCAGCCCUCAACAACAACAAAUUACCUAGCCCCAAAUGUCAAAAGGCCCAAGGUUAGGAAACUCUGGUCUAGACCACGGUUAAGCAAACUACUGCCCUCCUGGUUGGCUACCUGUUUUUAUAAAUAAAGUUUUAUUAGAACACGGAGAUGUCCAUUCAUUUCUAUGUCAUCUAUGGCUGCUUUGACUUACAACGCAAGUGAGCAGUUGUAACAGAAACUGUGUGGUCACAAGUCCUAAAAUAAAUAUGAGCCACAUAUGAAAUUUCAAGUUUUUCUAGUAGCCACAUUUUUUUAAAGUACAAAAAAAGCAGGGGAAAUUAAUGUUAGUAAUAUGCCCCAAAUAUUAUCAUUUCAACCUUGAAUCAACAUAAAAAUUAAUGAAAUAUUGUUAUAUUCUUUUAUUUCCAUAUUAAGUCUUCACUUACAGCACUUCUCAAUUCAGACUAGUCACAUUUUUUUUUUUUUUUUUGAGACGGAGUUUUGCUCUCAUUGCCCAGGCUAGAGUGCAGUGGCACAAUCUCAGCUUACCACAACCUCCUCCUCUCAGGUUCAAGCGAUUCUCCUGCCUCAGCCUCCCGAGUAGCUGGGAUUACAGGCACGUGCCACCACGCCCGGCUAAUUUUGUAUUUUUAGUAGAGACUGGGUUUCUCCAUGUUGGUCAGGCUGGUCUCGAAUUCCGACCUUAGGUGGUCCACCCACCUCAGCCUCCCAAAGUGCUGGGAUUAUAGGCAUGAGCCACUGUGCCUGGCCCAGACUAGUCACAUUUUAAGUGCUCACGUUGCUGGUGGCUAUUGUAUUACACAAUGCAGGUCUACACUGCAUUUUUCACUAAACUGCUUUUUUAAAUUAUUUUACUUUUAAUUUUAUUUUAUAUAUAUUUUUGAGACGAAGUUUCACUCUUGUCACCCAGGCUGGAGGGCAGUGGCGCGAUCUCGGCUCACCACAAUCUCUGCCUCCUGGGUUCAAAUGAUUCUCCUGCCUCAGCCGCCCUAGCAGCUGGAACUACAGGUGCAUACCACCACACCCGGCUAAUUUUUUUUUUAUUUUUAGUAAAGACAGGGUUUCACUACGUUGGCCAGGCUGGUCUCGAACUCCUGACCUCAAGUGGUCCCCCUG